UACGUAGGGUGCGAGCGUUAAUCGGAAUUACUGGGCGUAAAGCGUGCGCAGGCGGUUUUGUAAGCCAGAUGUGAAAGCCCCGGGCUUAACCUGGGAACUGCAUCCGAGACUGUAUUGCUAGAGUAUGGGAGAGGGAAGUGGAAUUUCAGGUGUAGCGGUGAAAUGCGUAGAUAUCUGAAGGAACAUCAGUGGCGAAAGCGACU
rnacentral:rRNA from 1 species